rnacentral:rRNA from 1 species
UACGAAGGGGGCAAGCGUUGUUCGGAAUUACUGGGCGUAAAGGGCGCGCAGGCGGCCAAUCAAGUCAGAUGUGAAAGCCCCGGGCUCAACCUGGGAAUAGCAUUUGGGACUGGUUGGCUAGAGAUCGGGAGAGGAGAGUGGAAUUCCCAGUGUAGAGGUGAAAUUCGUAGAUAUUGGGAAGAACACCGGUGGCGAAGGCGGCUCUCUGGACCGAUACUGGCGCUGAGGCACGAAGGCCAGGGGAGCAAACGGG